rnacentral:rRNA from 1 species
UACGAAGGGUGCAAACGUUGCUCGGAAUCAUUGGGCGUAAAGCGCACGUAGGCGGCUUCGCAAGUCGGAUGUGAAAUCCCUCGGCUCAACCGAGGACGUGCAUCCGAAACUGCGGAGCUUGAGUAUGGAAGAGGGUCGCGGAAUUCCCGAUGUAGAGGUGAAAUUCGUAGAUAUCAAAAGGAACACCAAUAACGAAGACGGCGACCUGAGCCAAUACUGACGCUGAGGUGCGAAAGCGUGGGGAGCAAGCAGG